rnacentral:rRNA from 1 species
UACGUAGGUCGCAAGCGUUGUCCGGAUUUACUGGGCGUAAAGAGCGCGCAGGCGGCUGGUCAAGUCCGAUGUGAAAUCUCCCGGCUUAACUGGGAAACUGCAUCGGAAACUGAUCGGCUUGAAGGUGGGAGAGGGUAGUGGAAUUCCCGGUGUAGUGGUGAAAUGCGUAGAUAUCGGGAGGAACACCAGUGGCGAAGGCGACUCUUUGGCCUGUAACUGACGCUGAGGCGCGAAAGCGUGGGGAGCAAACAGG